GGAAUUAACUUUUUUAUUUUAAAAAAUUGAAAUUAAAUUUUUAGUAAAAAUGCUAAAAUAUUUAUAUAAGACGAGAAGACCCUUUAAAUCUUUAUUAUUUUAACUAUAAUUUUUUAUUUAAUAUGAUUUAUUAGUAUAAUUAAAAUAAUUUUAUUGGGGUGAUAUUGAAAUUUAAUUAACUUUCAAUUUUUAUUUCAUAAAUAAAUGAAUUUUUGAUCCAUUAUUAAUGAUU
rnacentral:rRNA from 1 species